rnacentral:rRNA from 1 species
GACGAACGCUGGCGGCGUGCUUAACACAUGCAAGUCGAGCGGAGCGGCGAACGGGUGAGUAACGCGUGAGUAACUGCCCCCCUCUCUGGGAUAACAGUUGGAAACGGCUGCUAAUACCGGAUAGUGGGGGAUGACUCGCGUCCUAUCAGCUGGUUGGUGGUGUAGUGGCCUACCAAGGUCACGACGGGUAGCCGGACCGAUAGGGCGGCCGGCCACAGUGGGCUGAGAUACGGCCCGAACUCCUACGGGAGGCAGCAGUGGGGAAUAUUGCACAAGUGGGGAAACCCUGAUGCAGCAACGCGCGUGCGGGAUGACGGCCUUCGGGUUGUAAACCGCUUUCAGCAAUGACGCGGUAGUGGGAGAAGAAGCACCGGCUAACUACGUGCCAGCAGCCGCGGUAAUUC